UCUGGUGACUAUGGCGACGGGGAAACACCUCUUCCCAUUCCGAACAGAGAAGUUAAGCCCGUCUGCGCCGAUGGUACUGUCCCCUCGGGGAUGGGAGAGUAGGGCGUCACCAGAA
rnacentral:rRNA from 1 species